rnacentral:rRNA from 1 species
UACGCAGGGGGCUAGCGUUGUCCGGAAUCAUUGGGCGUAAAGCGCGUGUAGGCGGUUCGGUAAGUCCGCUGUGAAAGUCGGGGGCUCAACCCUCGGAUGCCGGUGGAUACUGUCGGACUAGAGUACGGAAGAGGCGAGUGGAAUUCCUGGUGUAGCGGUGAAAUGCGUAGAUAUCAAGAGGAACACCUGAGGUGAAGACGGGUUGCUGGGCUGACACUGACGCUGAGGCGCGAAAGCCAGGGGAGCAAACGGG